rnacentral:rRNA from 1 species
CGCGGCCUAUCAGCUUGUUGGUGAGGUAAUGGCUCACCAAGGCUUCGACGGGUAGCCGGCCUGAGAGGGCGACCGGCCACACUGGGACUGAGAUACGGCCCAGACUCCUACGGGAGGCAGCAGUGGGGAAUAUUGCACAAUGGGCGCAAGCCUGAUGCAGCAACGCCGCGUGCGGGAUGACGGCCUUCGGGUUGUAAACCGCUUUCAGUAGGGACGAAGCUAACGUGACGGUACCUACAGAAGAAGGACCGGCUAACUACGUGCCAGCAGCCGCGGUGAUACGUAGGGUCUGAGCGUUGUCCGGAAUUAUUGGGCGUAAAGGGCCUGUAGGCGGUCCGUCGCGUCAGGAGUGAAAACUCGGGGCUUAACCCCGAGCCUGCUUUUGAUACGGGCGGACUAGAGGGAUGCAGGGGAGAACGGAAUUCCUGGUGGAGCGGUGGAAUGCGCAGAUAUCAGGAGGAACACCGGUGGCGAAGGCGGUUCUCUGGGCAUCACCUGACGCUGAGAAGCGAAAGCGUGGGGAGCAAACAGGCUUAGAUACCCUGGUAGUCCACGCCGUAAACGGUGGGCACUAGGUGUGGGGGACAUUCCACGUUCUCCGUGCCGAAGCUAACGCAUUAAGUGCCCCGCCUGGGGAGUACGG